GAAAAGAAGGAACCAUACAAAAUAGAAUCAGUGCAAAAAAUGGAAGGAACGUUUGGAAUAUACUGCAAAGAGACUCACUGUAAGUUUUCAGAUAACUGAUUAUUCCUCAACCUGAAAAUUCCACAUUUUCCUUAUUUGGAACUUAGGUAGAAUGCAACAUACUCCUAACAACUCAUGAAAAACCAAAUAAAGCUUCUUAAAAUUACACUCUCAACUCAAGAAAUGAAACCAAAAUAUAAUGUAUAAAAUCCUUAAAUUCGUCAGCUGCACAAAAGAUUAAGAAUCUACCAGUUAUGGACUGAUGCUCUCCUCUAAAAAUGGAUCUCCAGUUCUCCGAAUAUCAAAAGAUACUCAAACGAAAAUUAAGAGACACACACAAAACUCGUACGUUAUAAGAACCAACACUAAUUUUAGCAAACUCCACGAUAACUGAACUUUGAAGAAGUGAAGAAAUUUUUAAUAGAAAUGGAAAUACCCAGAUGAUAAAUCUGAUAAAACACAACAAGAAAGAAAGUGAAAAAAAAGUGAGGAAAAUAUCUCCAGUAUCCAAUCAUAGAAACCAAGAAUAUACAACGAAACAAAUAUGGCUUAUUUCAUACAGCAAGAUUGAUCAAAAUAAAUCAAAAAUCCAAAUAUAUCAAAAUAAAUCAAUAGAUGGGGACUCAAUCUAUUGAGCUUACAAAAGCUCAACAAAGUAAACAAAAAAUGUAAAAGGGUAACAAGAAAGUGGAAUGCAAGAUACAAGAACAUGUGGCAGUGAAGAAGAAGAUAAAAAAGAAGUUACCUUUCAAGUUGAGAUUAGAUUAGACAGAUAGGAAACUAAGAUUCUUUUCUUUUUCUUCUUCCUUGCUUGCUUCCCUGUGUAUUACAGGAGAAAGAGAGAGAGAGACAGAGUGAGUGGCAUUAACAGACCUUUUGCUUAGCCUUUUCGGUUUUCAAACAAGUUCUGAUUUGUGGGUAUUCUUUCUUUUCUUUUCUUGUCUUCUUUGCUUUUAGAUAUCAGACAAGAACAAAUGGGAUACCUUUGUAGAAAGAAUUUGAUUCUCUCAAACCUCACUCACUCACUCACUCACUCCCUCUACUGUUUUUG
rnacentral:misc_RNA from 1 species